rnacentral:rRNA from 1 species
AUUGAACGCUGGCGGCAGGCCUAACACAUGCAAGUCGAACGGCAACACGGUGAAGCUUGGUUCUUUGCUGACGCGUGGCGGACGGGUGAGAAGUGUAUAGGCAACUCUAUGUUUGCGGGGGAUAACACGUAGGAACGGUAGCUAUUACAGCGUAUCGUCGCAAGACCAGAGAGGGGGAGAUCUGCGCACCUUGCGAGCGUGUAUGAGCAGAUGUCGGAUUAGCUAGUAGGUGGGGUAACGGCUCACCAAGGCGACGAUCCGUAGCUGGUCUGAGAGGAUGAUCAGCCACACUGGAACUGAGACACGGUCCAGACUCCUACGGGAGGCAGCAGUGGGGAAUAUUGGACAAUGGGCGCAAGCCUGAUGCAGCCAUGCCGCGUGUGUGAAGAAGGCCUUCGGGUUGUAAAGUACUUUUGGUGGGAAGGAAGGGAAUAAGGUUAAUACCUCGGUGUAUUGACGUUACCCGCAGAAGAAGCACCGGCUAACUCCGUG